rnacentral:rRNA from 1 species
CCUACGGGAGGCAGCAGUGAGGAAUAUUGGUCAAUGGGCGCGAGCCUGAACCAGCCAAGUCGCGUGAGGGAAGACGGUCCUAUGGAUUGUAAACCUCUUUUGUCGGGGAGCAAAAGACGCCACGCAUGGCGCUCCGAGAGUACCCGAAGAAAAAGCAUCGGCUAACUCCGUGCCAGCAGCCGCGGUACUACGGCGGAUGCGAGCGUUACCUGGAUUUAUUGGGUUAAAAGGGUGCGCAGGCGGAAGAUCAAGUCAGCGGUAAAAUUGAGAGUCUCAACCGCUACGAGCCGUUGAAACUGGUUAUCUUGAGUGAGUGAGAAGUAUGCGGAAUGCGAGGUGUAGCGGUGAAAUGCAUAGAUAUCACGCAGAACUCCGAUUGCGAAGGCAGCAUACCGGCGCUCAACUGACGCUCAUGCACGAAAGUGUGGGUAGCGAACAGGAUUAGAUACCCUUGUAGUC